UACAGAGGGGGCAAGCGUUGUUCGGAAUUACUGGGCGUAAAGGGCGCGUAGGCGGCCUUCUAAGCCGAACGUGAAAUCCCCGGGCUCAACCCGGGAACUGCGUCCGAGACUGGAAGGCUUGAAUCCGGGAGAGGGAUGUGGAAUUCCAGGUGUAGCGGUGAAAUGCGUAGAUAUCUGGAGGAACAUCGGUGGCGAAGGCGGCAUCCUGGACCGGUAUUGACGCUGAGGCGCGAAAGCCAGGGGAGCAAACGGG
rnacentral:rRNA from 1 species